ensembl:lncRNA
GUGAGUGGCGACGCCCGAGGUCCAAGCCCCCUGCGGUGCGUGUGAGGCCGGCGCUAGCCAACCAGCAGUACCAGUGAAGACACACGCCAGGCUGCGGUUCAUGAUUUAGUGAGAAAUACAGGGAAUCCCCUGGCAGUCCAGGGCUUAGGACCCUACAGUCUCGCUGCCCAGAGCCCGAGUCCAGUCCCUGGUCAGGGAACUGAGAUCCCACAAGCCACAUGGCACAGCCAAAAAACCAAACACAGACAUAUUUGGUCUUCGUUCCUGUCUCUGGCACAGAGCUCCCGAAACCCUCGGCAUUUCCUGCGUGAAGAGACUCAUCAAGCUGUCAUCUGUUUCCUGUGAAGGAGGUGCCUGGAGGCCCCUGAGGGUGGGGACAACUGGCCGGAGGACCACCACGGGUGACAGCCCCGCCCCCUGACCUCCCGGGGGCGGGGAGCCAGAGAUGGAAUCAAUCAUCCAUGGUCAAUGCACCCAGGCACAGAGCCUCUGUGAAGCCCCCACAGGACGGGGUUCGCAGCGUCCCGGCUGGUCUGGUCAGCCCAUGGAGGUUCAGGGCGAGUGGUUCAACCAGAGGGGGCUUGGAAGCUCACACCUGCCCCUACAGCUCGCCCCAGGAACCCUCUGGCUUAUCCUGAAUGAUAUCCUUUUUCUUUAUAAGCCAAGGAUGUAAUAAACUGUUUUCCUGGGGUCGGGGGAGCCUCUGCUCCAUAACCCGAGUUAGCAGUACAGGUGACAAUCUGGGCUCAGGACCAGCGUGAGUUGGGGGCAGAGCUGUCUUGUGGGAUUGAGCCCGUACACAUGGGUCUGAGCUUUGUCUGGGCCGACAGUGUCAGGAUGGGGCUGAGCUGUAGGACACCCGGCUGGUGCCGGAGCACUGCUUGUAGGAGUGCUCAAGACACACACGCGCGCACACACAUACACACACGUGCACACAUGCACACACACGUGCACACACGUAUACACAGGUGCACACACAUGCACACACGCACACACGUGCACACACGUAUACACAGGUGCACAGCUGUGUGCGCACACGUGCACACCCAUGCAGUGCACAUUUACACAUGCAUGCACACGUGUGCACACACACACAUUGGAAUUGGCUCCAG